rfam:Brevibacillus phage Jimmer1, complete genome.
UUUCGGUACUGUCGGCGUAAAAGAACAGGACAUCACCGGACGAAACCGGGAUAAAAAACGUA